GUAAAAAAACUAAUGUCAGACUUUCUGUUCUAGUUCAGACGUAGAAACCUCAGAAGUUAUCACUUUCAUCUCUACAAGAAGAAAUUGAAGACAUUGAACAUCACUAAGAUGAGAGCAUAGAUGCCACAAGAUGAGAUUUCACCCCAAUAUCUGGAGAGUGAAGAAGGUACUGAGAGUCCCUUGGUCCCAGGUAUAGAAGCUCUCCAAUGGAACCAGGGAUAGCAGUAUUAUUUACAAUAGUGCCGCAUACAGAACUCUAAAAUCUCAACAGGAAAAAAAAAAAAGAUCCAAGUAAAAAGUAAACCAAGAAUCCUAAAUGAUAGCUUACCAAGAAGCUAUAGAAAGGCAAGAUGUGAAAGAAGCCUAACAUUAUAUGUCAUUAGAGAACUACAAAGUAAAAGAAUGAGAAUACCAUUAAAUACCUGUACAAUGGCCAGAAUCUAAAAGACACUGAUACCACCAAAGACUCAUGAGAAUUCGGAACAAGACCCUCAUUCACUGCUGGUGUGGAUAACACUGAAAAAUGUUUUGACUUUUUUUUUUAACAAAACAAAACCCUCAUUACUCAAUGCCACAUAAAAACACUUCUUUAUAUGUACUCAAAUGGCUAAGAAAUGUAGGUCCACAGAGAAGUUUAUUCACAAGGUCAAAACUUGGAGACACACAGAUGUCCUUUUAUGAAUGGAUAAAUGAAUUGUGGUACAUUCAUAAAAUGGAAAGCUAUUCAGCCACAAAAAGAAAUAAAGUAUCAAUCUGUAAAACACUUGAAGGGAAUUAAAUGCAUACUGCUAACUGAAAGAAGCCAGUCUGGAAUGCCUAUAAACAGUAAUAUUCCAACCAUAUGGUAUUUUCAAAAAGACAACAUUAUAAGACCAUAAAAAGUCCGUGAUUUCUCAGUUUGGAGGAAUAAGAGGGAAGAAUAAAUUGGUAGAACACAUGGAAUCUUUUGAGUUGUGGAAACUACUCUGUUUGAUAUUACUAUGGUGACCCCGAUACUGUGCUCUUAUUAAAAUCAAUAGUACUGUACAAUGC
rnacentral:lncRNA from 1 species